UGGGGAAUAUUGGACAAUGGGCGCAAGCCUGAUCCAGCCAUGCCGCGUGAGUGAUGAAGGCCCUAGGGUUGUAAAGCUCUUUCACCGGUGAAGAUAAUGACGGUAACCGGAGAAGAAGCCCCGGCUAACUUCGUGCCAGCAGCCGCGGUAAUACGAAGGGGGCUAGCGUUGUUCGGAUUUACUGGGCGUAAAGCGCACGUAGGCGGACUUUUAAGUCAGGGGUGAAAUCCCGGGGCUCAACCCCGGAACUGCCUUGAUACUGGAAGUCUUGAGUAUGGUAGAGGUGAGUGGAAUUCCGAGUGUAGAAGUGAAAUUCGUAGAUAUUCGGAGGAACACCAGUGGCGAAGGCGGCUCACUGGACCAUUACUGACGCUGAGGUGCGAAAGCGUGGGGAGCAAACAGG
rnacentral:rRNA from 1 species